rnacentral:rRNA from 1 species
CAAUAGCGUAUAUUUAAGUUGUUGCAGUUAAAAAGCUCGUAGUUGGAUUUCGGUUAAGAGCGACCGGUCCGCCGUUUGGUGUGCACUGGUUGGUUUUAACUUCCUGUAGAGGACGUGCUCUGGGUUUAACGACCUGGACUCGGAGUCUACGUGGUUACUUUGAAAAAAUUAUAGUGUUCAAAGCGGGCUUACGCUUGAAUAUUUCAGCAUGGAAUAACACUAUAGGACUCCUGUCCUAUUUCGUUGGUCUCGGGACGGGAGUAAUGAUUAAGAGGAACAGUUGGGGGCAUUCGUAUUUCAUUGUCAGAGGUGAAAUUCUUGGAUUUAUGAAAGACGAACUUCUGCGAAAGCAUUUGCCAAGGAUGUUUUCAUUAA